rnacentral:rRNA from 1 species
GACGAACCGUGCGAACGUUGUUCGGAAUCACUGGGCAUAAAGGGCGCGUAGGCGGCUUAUCAAGUCAGGGGUGAAAUCCGGCAGCUCAACUGUCGAAGUGCCUUUGAUACUGAUGAGCUCGAGGGAGGUAGGGGUCUGUGGAACUUCCGGUGGAGCGGUGAAAUGCGUAGAUAUCGGAAGGAACGCCGGUGGCGAAAGCGACGCACUGGACCUCUUCUGACGCUGAGGCGCGAAAGCUAGGGGAGCAAACGGG